GACGGAGGGUGCUAGCGUUGUUCGGAAUUACUGGGCGUAAAGGGCGCGUAGGCGGCUGCUCAAGUCGGGUGUGAAAGCCCGGGGCUCAACCCCCGGAACGGCACCCGAUACUGCUAUAGCUAGAGUCCAGUAGGGGAGUGUGGAAUUCCCAGUGUAGCGGUGAAAUGCGCAGAUAUUGGGAGGAACACCAGCGGCGAAGGCGGCACUCUGGGCUGGUACUGACGCUGAGGAGCGAAAGCGUGGGUAGCGAACAGG
rnacentral:rRNA from 1 species